AAGCCAUGAGAGACUCAUACAUAUGUGAUAAGGAGGAACUGAUCAGCAUUGUGGAUGUGGCCAUGACAGAACCUGCUUCCUGGCUGACGCAGGUGCCAGCUGUCGUUACCUGCAUCUAUAACAACCUGGAGCACAUCAGCACAGCAUCAGAGCGGCAUAGCCUGGACUUGCUGCUUCUAAAGAUGGCAGAGCUGUGGCCAGCGGAUGUGAUCCUGAGACUUCUGGAUCUCUCUCCAGAAUGUGACAGUGUUGCUAUGGCUAUGUGGGAAUUGCUGCUGUCCCAGCCUUGCAUCUUGGUGAAGGCCAUGAAGGAGCUGAGUAUCGAGUUCCAAUCCCUGCACAGGCGAAGGUGUCUCAGCAUCCACAGAGUGGUGGUCUUCAUCCAUUUCUUGGUUCUGCUGGUCUCCAGCCAUGUGACACCAAGAAUGUUUGCUGAGGAGUACAAACUCCGGGAGCCGCUGAUGCCUCCAAGGCUGUUCUCACUGCUGCUCCAAGUCCUCAUCACACUGUCACAGUCACCUGACAUGGCAAAGAAAAUGCUGAUCAUGCUGCCGGACUUGAUGAAGACCCUGCAGAGUACCCACAGAGACAAGAUGAGGGCCCUGGUCCUAUUCAGAAACGUAACAGCUCAUUUGAAGAAGAAGGCCAGCUUCAUCGUCCUGGACCUGGCCGAGAUGCUCAUUCCACUCUUUGAUGAUGAGUGCAGCCAGGUGCGAGAGUUCUCCAUCUGCCUCUUCAAAGACAUAAUACAGAUGGCGGACUGCAAGGGCAAGCGGAAGAUGCAGAAGAAGGUGCGGAGGAGCCUGGUCCCACUCAUGUUGCACAUGAGUGACAAGACUGAGAGCGUGGCCCAGGUACAGACUCCAAACCUGAGGAGUGGUGGGGGGC
rnacentral:lncRNA from 14 species